UUGUCGCGACCGCUGUGCACCCGGUGCACACA
rnacentral:sRNA from 1 species